AGAUUAGGAGCCAGUUAUCAAAGUAGAUUUAUUGUGCCUUGUUCAAGCGAAGGAUGAAAAUACCCUCUGGGCAUGGAGAAAGGGUCAUGGGACUCCCAAAAGGAUUACCUUGAACUGGAGUCAUGAGACUUGGGCGAACAAAGACCCUGCUCACAUGCUCAUCAUAUUAACUGGCCCUCAUAAAGUGAAGAAGUUUCAUGUCCUGUGGGAUUCAAUGAGGCCACUUCACUGGGAGUGCAGCACCAGGAGAAAGCUCUGGCUCCCCUGCACUCCCUAGCCUUAAUCUCCAGCAGCACUAGGACCUCAAAGCUCCGUCAAGAGGAUUGCACAGAAAGCGUGGAUUGAGAGGACCUUUCUUAAAAGAGAAUGUAUACACAUAUUUCCCAGCAAAGACCCAACCAGAUGUGCCUGUGGUCAGCUGACAACACAGCACGUGGCCAUCCCUCCUGGUGCCAACUCCUUAGAGG